GAUACACACCUGGACUCAGAAGUGGGACACAACUUUACCUGCUAAGAAAGGUCAGAGAAUAGAGUUGUUAAAAGAAAAGAGCAAUGGACCUGAACUUUUCCAUGGAAUCAUGGGCACUGUUGUUCACUAUCCUGGUGCUGCUCUACCUUUAUGGAACUUCUACUCAUGGACUUUUUAAGAAGCUAGGAAUUCCUGGCCCCAAGCCUCUGCCUUUUGUUGGGACAAUGCAUCUCUACAGGAAGGGUAUGUGGAAAUGUGAUUUAGAAUUUCAAACAAAAUAUGGUCAUAUGUGGGGGUAAGUAGUUUGGAAAUGUUAAUAUGUGGUUUUGCUAAGAUGU